GCCUCCUUAGCUCAGUUGGUUAGAGCGCCAGACUUUUAAUCUGGUGGUCGGGGGUUCGAGCCCCCCAGGUGGCU
rnacentral:tRNA from 2 species